rnacentral:hammerhead_ribozyme from 1 species
GCACUGCUGAGGAGUUCAACAAUGGGAGGAAACGGCCGUCUAGUGC